rnacentral:sRNA from 1 species
GGAUAGCAACGAAAAUCCUUUUUUAUUUUUUGCUUUUUAAAAAUAAAAAGAUUGCAGUGAAUAGCCCGACCU